rnacentral:misc_RNA from 1 species
GAUGAAGAACGCAGCGAAACGCGAUAUGUAAUGUGAAUUGCAGAAUUCAGUGAAUCAUCGAAUCUUUGAACGCACAUGGCGCCUUCCAGUAUCCUGGGAGGCAUGCCUGUCCGAGCGUCGUUUCAACCCUCGAGCCCCCGUGGCCCGGCGUUGGGGAUCUGCCCAGGCAGUCCCCGAAAACCAGUGGCGGACCCGUUACAGGCCCUUCCCUUGCGUAGUAGCAUUCGCCUCGCAUCGGGAGCCGGCGGGCUUCCAGCCUCUAAACCCCCAUCAAGACCGCCCCGGCGGCACCAAGGUUGACCUCGGAUCAGGUAGGAAUACCCGCUGAACUUAAGCAUAUCAAUAAGCGGAGGA